rnacentral:rRNA from 1 species
UGCCUAACACAUGCAAGUCGUACGAGAGUUUUUAACUCUAGUGGCGGACGGGUGAGUAACACGUGAGAAUUUGCCUUUAGGAGGGGGACAACAAUUGGAAACGAAUGCUAAUACCCCAUAUGCUUUCGAGUGAAAUGGAUUUAUAUUUAUCCGCCUAGAGAGAAGCUCGCGGCUGAUUAGCUUGUUGGUAAGGUAAGAGCUUACCAAGGCGACGAUCAGUAUCUGGUUUGAGAGGACGAUCAGACACACUGGAACUGAGACACGGUCCAGACUCCUACGGGAGGCAGCAGUGGGGAAUUUUCCGCAAUGGGCGAAAGCCUGACGGAGCAAUACCGCGUGAGGGAAGACUGCCUAUGGGUUGUAAACCUCUUUUUUCAGGGAGGAAUAAAUGACGUGUACCUGAAGAAUAAGCAUCGGCUAACUCCGUGCCAGCAGCCGCGGUAAGACGGAGGAUGCAAGUGUUAUCCGGAAUCACUGGGCGUAAAGCGUCUGUAGGUGGUUUAAUAAGUCAACUGUUAAAUCUUGAGGCUCAACUUCAAAAUCGCAGUCGAAACUAUUAGACUAGAGU